AGAGUUUGAUCCUGGCUCAGAUUGAACGCUGGCGGCAUGCCUUACACAUGCAAGUCGAACGGCAGCACGGGAGCAAUCCUGGUGGCGAGUGGCGAACGGGUGAGUAAUACAUCGGAACGUGCCCAGUAGUGGGGGAUAACC
rnacentral:rRNA from 1 species